UUUUAGCCCCGAUAGAAGUGGAAAUCCUUUUGUGCCGGGGUUCGGCGCAAAAGAUUGAAACGAAUAGCGGGAAAAAAC
rnacentral:sRNA from 1 species